rnacentral:rRNA from 1 species
CAGUCGCCGCGGUAAUACAGAGGGUGCAAGCGUUAAUCGGAAUUACUGGGCGUAAAGCGCGCGUAGGUGGUUUGUUAAGUCGAAUGUGAAAUCCCCGGGCUCAACCUGGGAACUGCAUCCGAAACUGGCAAGCUAGAGUAUGGUAGAGGGUGGUGGAAUUUCCUGUGUAGCGGUGAAAUGCGUAGAUAUAGGAAGGAACACCAGUGGCGAAGGCGACCACCUGGACUGAUACUGACACUGAGGUGCGAAAGCGUGGGGAGCAAACAGGAUUAGAUACCCGAGUAGUCCCUGUCUCUUAUAC